rnacentral:piRNA from 1 species
UCCAAGGAAGGAACACAUCUGGC